GCGCCCUUAGCUCAGCUGGAUAGAGCAACAGCCUUCUAAGCUGUGGGUCAGAGGUUCGAGUCCUCUAGGGCGCACCA
rnacentral:tRNA from 2 species